rnacentral:rRNA from 1 species
GAGUUUGAUCCUGGCUCAGAACGAACGCUGGCGGCGCGUUUUAAGCAUGCAAGUCAAAGGGGCUAUUUAUAGCGAUAUAGAUAGCAACUGGCGCACGGGUGAGUAAUAUGUGAGAAUCUACCCUAAGGACUGGGAUAGUAUGCAGAAAUGCAUAGUAAUACCGGAUAUGCCGAGAGGUGAAAAGGUCAACUGAUCUGCCUUAGGAUGAGCUUGCAUCCCAUUAGCUAGUUGGUAGGGUAAGAGCCUACCAAGGCGACGAUGGGUAGCCGGCCUGAGAGGGUGAACGGCCACAUUGGAACUGAGACACGGUCCAGACUCCUACGGGAGGCAGCAGCUAAGAAUCUUCCGCAAUGGGAGGAAUCCUGACGGAGCGACGCCGCGUGAACGAUGAAGGCAGAAAUGUUGUAAAGUUCUUUUGUAUGGGAAGAAUAAGGGGAGGAGUGGAAAGCCUCUCUGAUGACGGUACCAUACGAAUAAGCCACGGCUAACUACGUGCCAGCAGCCGCGGUAAUACGUAGGUGGCAAGCGUUGUUCGGAAUCAUUGGGCGUAAAGGGCAUGUAGGUGGUUUUACAAGUGUGAGUUGAAAUACCGAAGCUUAACUUCGAGUAUGGCUUGCAAACUGUAAGACUGGAGUGUAGAAGGGGAGACUGGAAUUCCGCGUGUAGGGGUGAAAUCUGUAAAUAUGCGGAAGAAUACCUGUGGCGAANGCGAGUCUCUGGUCUACAACUGACACUGAAAUGCGAAAGUGUGGGGAGCAAACAGGAUUAGAUACCCUGGUAGUCCACACUGUAAACGUUGUACACUAGGCGUUAGGGGAUUUAAUCUUCUAGUGCCGAAGCUAACGCGUUAAGUGUACCGCCUGGGGAGUAUGCUCGCAAGGGUGAACUCAAAGGAUUUGANGGGGCCCGCACAAGCGGUGGAGCAUGUGGUUUAAUUCGAUGAUACGCGAAGAACCUUACCAGGGCUUGACAUCUUUCUGACAGGGUAGAGA